CUUCACCGAGCCGAGCCAGAGCGGCUGGUCCCGAUCACGGCCGUAGGUGGCCAGCAGCGCCUGCGCCUC
rnacentral:antisense_RNA from 1 species